rnacentral:rRNA from 1 species
CGCUUCGGCGUGUGACUGCGUACCUUUUGUAUAAUGGGUCAGCGACUUAUAUUCUGUAGCAAGGUUAACCGAAUAGGGGAGCCGAAGGGAAACCGAGUCUUAACUGGGCGUUAAGUUGCAGGGUAUAGACCCGAAACCCGGUGAUCUAGCCAUGGGCAGGUUGAAGGUUGGGUAACACUAACUGGAGGACCGAACCGACUAAUGUUGAAAAAUUAGCGGAUGACUUGUGGCUGGGGGUGAAAGGCCAAUCAAACCGGGAGAUAGCUGGUUCUCCCCGAAAGCUAUUUAGGUAGCGCCUCGUGAAUUCAUCUCCGGGGGUAGAGCACUGUUUCGGCAAGGGGGUCAUCCCGACUUACCAACCCGAUGCAAACUGCGAAUACCGGAGAAUGUUAUUACGGGAGACACACGGCGGGUGCUAACGUCCGUCGUGAAGAGGGAAACAACCCAGACCGCCAGCUAAGGUCCCAAAGUCAUGGUUAAGUGGGAAACGAUGUGGGAAGGCCCAGACAGCCAGGAUGUUGGCUUAGAAGCAGCCAUCAUUUAAAGAAAGCGUAAUAGCUCACUGGUCGAGUCGGCCUGCGCGGAAGAUGUAACGGGGCUAAACCAUGCACCGAAGCUGCGGCAGCGACACUAUGUGUUGUUGGGUAGGGGAGCGUUCUGUAAGCCUGUGAAGGUGUGCUGUGAGGCAUGCUGGAGGUAUCAGAAGUGCGAAUGCUGACAUAAGUAACGAUAAAGCGGGUGAAAAGCCCGCUCGCCGGAAGACCAAGGGUUCCUGUCCAACGUUAAUCGGGGCAGGGUGAGUCGACCCCUAAGGCGAGGCCGAAAGGCGUAGUCGAUGGGAAACAGGUUAAUAUUCCUGUACUUGGUGUUACUGCGAAGGGGGGACGGAGAAGGCUAUGUUGGCCGGGCGACGGUUGUCCCGGUUUAAGCGUGUAGGCUGAUUUUCCAGGCAAAUCCGGAAAAUCAAGGCUGAGGCGUGAUGACGAGGCACUACGGUGCUGAAGCAACAAAUGCCCUGCUUCCAGGAAAAGCCUCUAAGCAUCAGGUAACAUCAAAUCGUACCCCAAACCGACACAGGUGGUCAGGUAGAGAAUACCAAGGCGCUUGAGAGAACUCGGGUGAAGGAACUAGGCAAAAUGGUGCCGUAACUUCGGGAGAAGGCACGCUGAUAUGUAGGUGAAGCGACUUGCUCGUGGAGCUGAAAUCAGUCGAAGAUACCAGCUGGCUGCAACUGUUUAUUAAAAACACAGCACUGUGCAAACACGAAAGUGGACGUAUACGGUGUGACGCCUGCCCGGUGCCGGAAGGUUAAUUGAUGGGGUUAGCGGUAACGCGAAGCUCUUGAUCGAAGCCCCGGUAAACGGCGGCCGUAACUAUAACGGUCCUAAGGUAGCGAAAUUCCUUGUCGGGUAAGUUCCGACCUGCACGAAUGGCGUAAUGAUGGCCAGGCUGUCUCCACCCGAGACUCAGUGAAAUUGAACUCGCUGUGAAGAUGCAGUGUACCCGCGGCAAGACGGAAAGACCCCGUGAACCUUUACUAUAGCUUGACACUGAACAUUGAGCCUUGAUGUGUAGGAUAGGUGGGAGGCUUUGAAGUGUGGACGCCAGUCUGCAUGGAGCCGACCUUGAAAUACCACCCUUUAAUGUUUGAUGUUCUAACGUUGGCCCGUUAUCCGGGUUGCGGACAGUGUCUGGUGGGUAGUUUGACUGGGGCGGUCUCCUCCUAAAGAGUAACGGAGGAGCACGAAGGUUGGCUAAUCCUGGUCGGACAUCAGGAGGUUAGUGCAAUGGCAUAAGCCAGCUUGACUGCGAGCGUGACGGCGCGAGCAGGUGCGAAAGCAGGUCAUAGUGAUCCGGUGGUUCUGAAUGGAAGGGCCAUCGCUCAACGGAUAAAAGGUACUCCGGGGAUAACAGGCUGAUACCGCCCAAGAGUUCAUAUCGACGGCGGUGUUUGGCACCUCGAUGUCGGCUCAUCACAUCCUGGGGCUGAAGUAGGUCCCAAGGGUAUGGCUGUUCGCCAUUUAAAGUGGUACGCGAGCUGGGUUUAGAACGUCGUGAGACAGUUCGGUCCCUAUCUGCCGUGGGCGCUGGAGAACUGAGGGGGGCUGCUCCUAGUACGAGAGGACCGGAGUGGACGCAUCACUGGUGUUCGGGUUGUCAUGCCAAUGGCACUGCCCGGUAGCUAAAUGCGGAAGAGAUAAGUGCUGAAAGCAUCUAAGCACGAAACUUGCCCCG